GACGAACGCUGGCGGCGUGCUUAACACAUGCAAGUCGAACGGAAAGGCCCUGCUUUUGUGGGGUGCUCGAGUGGCGAACGGGUGAGUAACACGUGAGUAACCUGCCCUUGACUUUGGGAUAACUUCAGGAAACUGGGGCUACUACCGGAUAGGAGCUCCUGCUGCAUGGUGGGGGUUGGAAAGUUUCGGCGGUUGGGGAUGGACUCGCGGCUUAUCAGCUUGUUGGUGGGGUAGUGGCUUACCAAGGCUUUGACGGGUAGCCGGCCUGAGAGGGUGACCGGCCACAUUGGGACUGAGAGACGGACCAGACGCCUACGGGAGGCAGCAGUGGGGAAUAUUGCACAAUGGGCGGAAGCCUGAUGCAGCAACGCCGCGGGCGGGAUGACGGCCUUCGGGUUGUAAACCGCUUUCGCCUGUGACGAAGCGUGAGUGACGGUAAUGGGUAAAGAAGCACCGGCUAACUACGUG
rnacentral:rRNA from 1 species